AAUUAAUGAGCUUGAUAUAAGCGCUUAUUUUGAAAAUAAGUGAAAGAUUAACUUCUAUUAAUUU
rnacentral:tRNA from 1 species